rnacentral:rRNA from 1 species
GGGCAUGCGCGGCUACCAUGCAAGUCGAACGAGAAAUCCCUUCGGGGGUGAGUACAGUGGCGCACGGGUGAGGAACGCGUAAGUAAUCUACCCUCUGGCGGGGGACAACACUCCGAAAGGAAUGCUAAUACCGCGUAAGACCACACCUACUACGGUAGGAGCGGUUAAAGGUGCCUCAAAGCACCACCAGAAGAUGAGCCUGCGUCCCAUCGUCUUGUUGGUAAGGUAACGGCUUACCAAGGCGAACACGGGUAGCUGGUCUGAGAGGAUGAUCAGCCACACUGGUACUGGAACACGGACCAGACUCCUACGGGAGGCAGCAGGAGGAAUAUUGGGCAAUGGGCGAAAGCCUGACCCAGCCACGCCGCGUGUGUGAUGAAGGCCUUCGGGUCGUAAAGCACUGUGGGGAGAGACGAAACAGCGCAUCAGGAAAUGGUUGCGCCUUGACGGUACCUCCUUAGCAAGCACCGGCUAACUCUGUGCCAGCAGCCGCGGUAAUACAGAGGGUGCAAACGUUGCUCGGAUUUACUGGGCGUAAAGCGCGUGUAGGCGGACUCGCAAGUCGGUUGUGAAAUCCCUGGGCUCAACCUAGGAACUGCAUCCGAAACUGCUUGUCUUGAGUAAUGGAGAGGGUGGCGGAAUUCCCGGUGUAGAGGUGAAAUUCGUAGAUAUCGGGAGGAACAUCAGUGGCGAAGGCGGCCACCUGGACAUUUACUGACGCUGAGACGCGAAAGCGUGGGGAGCACACAGGAUUAGAUACCCUGGUAGUCCACGCCGUAACGAUGAGCAUUACGUGCAGCGGAUAUUGACCUCUGCUGUGCCGUAGCUAACGCGUUAAAUGCUCCGCCUGGGGAGUACGGCCGCAAGGCUAAACUCAAGGAAUUGACGGGGGCCCGCACAAGCAGUGGAGCAUGUGGUUUAUUCAAAGCAACGCGCAAAUCUUACCAGGGCUAGAAAAACUGAAAUCCUGACGAAACUCGGGAGUGCUCCCAGAGACUCAGGUCCAGGUGCUGCAUGGCUGUCGUCACCUCGUGGCGUGAAAUGUGGGUUAGC